ensembl:lncRNA
GGACUCAACAGAGACAGCUUGUCUGUGUUCCCCUUUGCCUCAGCUGAAAGGAGCUGCAGUCACCCAUGUGUGAAGAAGGCUCUUUCAUUCACUUGUCUGGAGCCUGGGCCGAUUCAAACAUCUGGAGACUGGAACAUCUGGGGCUCCUUGGACGACUACCUCUUUGUGGUUUCUCCAUGUAGUCUCUCUAGCGGAUGGCUGUAUUCUAUUUGCAUUUAGGGUUUCGGCUUAUCUGCAUCUCCAGCAGGAAGCCAUUGGAGGGUUUUCAACUGAGUCAUGAUAAAAGGCUUUGGCUGCUGAGUGGAAAACAGACCCUGCCGAACGACAGUAGAAGAAAAGGUUCCAGUUUGGAGGUUUUGCAGCAGCCCAGACAAACCAUGACAUUGUUCUUCACAAAAAAACUCAGUAUGAUCAAAAUCAUACUGAAAUUCUUACCGAGAAGUCCAUGAAUCGAAUGCCUAAUAUUUGUUUGUCUGGAUGAUUUGCAACCAUGCAUCAAGUCAUCAUAUCCUUAGAAUAUCAGAGUUCCACUGACCCAUAAUUGAGACUCCUGAAAAAUUUACUGUGAUCUCCCUGCUCUGACUGUACCUCUUUGAAAACAUCAGGUAGUUGAGAAGUGUGUGAAGGGCCAGAAUCCAAGACUAAGAAAUGGAGACAAAUGUACUUGUAAAAAUGAUACUUAGUUCACAUCCUUGCUGUGGCUAUAUCAGCAGCACUCAGCACAGAAACUGACACUCAAAUAUUUGUUGAAGGUGCUAAUAUAUUAACAUAGUAAGCACUCCAAACACAUCACAAUUAACCUUAGUAGUACAGCAAACCAACCAGCUUGGAAGUGUUUGAAGACUUGGACACUAGCCUUGGUGUUUCAAGAUGUUUCCAUGAAAGGGUAAGGAUGGCCCAACAACUACUCCAACCUUGGCUUAUUGCUGCUCACAGCUUCCUGGACUGCCUGGCCAUGGACGAUUCCAUCUCUAGCUAGUCCCGCCACCAGCCCUCACACACAGUGUCCUCCCUGUGGACAGCAGCCCCUCAUCCUGCUUCCGAGCUCCUUCUUCUUCUGCCAUACUUCCCACCCUGCACCCAAACAGGGGAGCCUUUUGUGGGAGCAAUCAAGCUCUAAAUCACUAUUUAUAUUUCUUGGAGUAAACUUAACACUGAGAAAAGGUUCUGGAAUGACUGCCCUGGGGACUAAAGCCCAUCUGGAAACAUGAAUAAUGUGAAAUGUAUCCCUCCAUGGAUCCCCCACAGACCAAUUACAAUAUCAUCCUUUCCGAGAAUUUCUGCCAAUUUUUUAUGAGGUCACCAAAAGUUAUAUGUUAAGUGAAAAUGGUGCAGAUUUAUAUAGGGGGUAGUUAACUGGUGGGGUGAGGAAUGUAGAUGUAAACUAGAGGAAACAGUGAUACUCCACAGAUGGAGAUGCACGUAGAUUUAAUUCUUCACUUCAGGAAGUGGAAUGGAUUUGUUCAUCUAUGGAACGACUACUGUGUGGCGGGCACUCUUCUAGGCUCUGUGGAGAAAACAACAAACAGUCCUAACAUUCCCCUCAUGGAGCUGCCAUUUUAAUGGAAUAGGAAGAUGGGCGAUACACAGCUUGACAAAAUGCUGCCAAAAGUCAACGUGUGGCUUUAAGUCCUGUUUGUGCCAUAGAACCACUGAGCAAUAUGAAGAGACUGUUGCUCCAUUAUAAUUGAGAGUGGGAUAGGUGUGCUGUCCUAUUUCUUGAAAAUGUGGAAUGGAAUUGUAUUCAUGGUUUGAAAACUCUUAGAAUGAGAAGAGACUUGGCAUUUAAAUGUUCCCCCAUACUUCUCAAUCUGCAAAGUUCAACUGAGAGGUAUUUGGCAGAGGGCCUUUUGCUGAAGCAAUCACCUGACAAUGUGAGUGGGACUCUGAGCCAGCCAGCAACUAACUCAGCUGGAGCAGCUUGAUUAGGUGAUGAGCACACAUUAUCAUAAAAUUGCAGAAAGGCUGUAAUGCAUCACAUCAUGGCUAGAAAUUAUCUGCCGCUGAAGAAAAAUGUCAGGGAAGGGUCAUCUUCUUUAGUGUUGGUAGUUCCUAAACUUUAGUUUCCAAGGAAUCACUUCGUGUGUCUGCAACAGAAAGAUCUCAGCUUCUCCCCUAGAAAUUCAGAAUGAGAAGGUCUGGGAAAGGGUCCAGGAGUUCAUAUUUUACCACGAUCCCUGCUGAUUCUGCUACAGGUGGUGCCACAACUGAACUGCCACACUGUUAACCAGAGGACAGAAGAUGGGGGAUGCAGGCCUCCAAUUCCCCUCCUCCAGAUGCAAGAACAUCUUGGCCAAAAUCGCUUCCUUGGAAGAGAAGGAGAAAGGGAAGCCGACUAGAACAGCUUUCUUGACAGGUUACAGCUUAUUUCUUUCCAUCAGGCAUUCAACCAAAGAUAGUUUGGCAACCACAAUGGACUAGGUACAGGCUACCCACUAGGGGAGGAUAUUAGAAUGAGAAAACAUAAGCCACUGCUCCCUGGAGCACAGGGAGAUUGUAAUGGACAAAAGAGUGGAAUGAACUGGGCCUGGCACUGCACUGUGCUAGGAGUUCUCUCAAACAACUUCUCAUUUAGUCUUCUCAAGUUUUGCUUCCUCAUCUCCUUCAAAUCAUUACCCAACUAUCUCUUUUGCAGUGAAACUUUGUUGGAUCACUUUGGAUCAACAUGUCAAAAGCUAAACUCCUGAUAUUUUCCCCAGCCUAUUCCUCCCAGAGUUUUCCCCAUUUCAAUAAAGAACAAUUCCGCACUUACAGUUGCUCAAGCCAGAAAUGGAAUUGACUGAACCCAAAUUUAAUCCAUCAAAAGUCCUACCGGUCUUGCGUUUAAAAUACAUCCAAAAUACUGCCACUUCACCUCCAUCCUCUAUUGCUACCAUCCCGGUCCAAGUCACCAUUACUCCUUGCCUGAGUUAUUGCAGUAGUCUCCCAGCUGCCCCCGAGUUUCUCCCCUAGUCCUUCGUUAGACUAUUCUUUUUGUAGACUGUUCUUGACAGCACCCAGAAUGAUUUUGUUAAAUAGAAGUCUGAUGAAGUCACUCCUCUGCUCCAACCUGGCUUCCUAUGUCAUUCUGAAUAGAAGCUAAAGUCCUUGUAAUAAUCCAAGCUCCUGACUUGCCUGACCAACUUAAACUAUCUGCUUUUCUUUUUGCUUCCCCCUCACUCGCACCUCCCGCCCACACUAGUACCAGCCCACUUGGCACUUUGUACUGGAAUUCUUUCUCCAUUUGGUCACAUGGCUUGUUUCUUUACUUCCUUCACAUCUUUAAUAACCUCUUACUUUCUCACUAGGCUUAGCUGACUUCCCUUAUCUAACAUACUCAUUUUGCCCAUCUCCCUGUUUUACAUUGACAUCUCUACAUUUUCCUAUUUUUAUCUUGUUUUUUGUCUCUCCCAUCAGAAUGUAAACUUCAUAAAGAUAAGGAUUUUUGUGUAUUGGGCUCUGCUAUAUCCCUAGGGCCUAGAGCAGUCCCAGGCACGUGUCAGGCUUUCAAUGUUAUUUGAGCAAAUGAAUGGAUUAAAGAAUAAAUAAAUGAAUAAAUAAAAUUGCAACCCCACAUAAUUAUUCUCUACGUGGCCUUUCUAAUUCAUUUUCUCCAUAAAAUUUAUCACUCUUCAAUAUACACUUAUGCUACAAAUUUAUGUAUUGUUUGGUCUGCUGUCUAAUUUUCCCUACUAAAAUAUAAAUGUCAUAAGAUCUGGGAUUUCUGUCGUGUUCACAAAUAUGCCCUUAUCAUCAAGAAGAAUACUUGGCUCUUACAUGUCAUAAAUAUGUAUUGAAUGAGUGAUUUCUGUGAUGCAUAGUUAGUACAUUUUGCAGAUGAGGAGACCGACUCUUCUUAGUGAGACUGAAUAGAUUUUGCAUAGUUACUUACACAACCAGCAUGCAGCAAGGUUAGGGUUAGCAUUUGGAUCGUUAUGACCCAAAGGCUGUGCCCUCACAGUAAACUUUCUGUCUAGUCAUGAAGGCAGGUGAGGUGGUACUAAAGGAAGGACAGGAUAGUUUCCUCUGCUGUAGAGUUCAUUCUUGCCUCUUCUCCUAGCUAACCAUCAAGAAGCAUGAAUCAUAACUGGAGUAUCUCAUCCUCUGGAAAGCCUACUGUCAAUCCCCAUGCCUGCCUGUAGGGUUCUGGUUAUACUACUUCCUGUUAUAGAGGAGCUACCUCCUGCACAAGCUGGCAUGGCCAUUGUUUAUUAUUCUUUUGUGUUCUCUGCUAGGUUGUAAAGUUUGUAUGGGCAGUUGUCAUUUCUCUCUUGUUCAGUUGUACAUCAGUCCUACCACAUGAUCUAAUUCAUUUUAGGUGCCCAAUUAAGGCUGGUUAGUUCAGUGUAGAAGUGGAAGGAAGAUUCAGGCAGAGGAAAUCACUGAACAGGAGUCAAAAAAUUAGGGAGGGUAAGUAGGGCUAUGUGUCUGAGGCAGAGUCUUUGAUGGGGUAAUAAUGUGGGAUGCACUGGAAUGGUGAGUAAACAGAAAUUGCAGAAAAUAAUGGAAGUUCUGGACACAAAAGUUGUCUUUGAAAAGCUAUGUGGACACCACUGAAUUUACAUUGACCAGAAUCACACAAUCCUCUUGCAGAAGAUUAAUCUGAUAGUGAUGGUGAAUUGAAAGGAGAAAGGGAAAGGCAGAAUCUGCUCCAAAGCCCAACUAUAAAGGUGAAAAAUAUCCCAACUGAAUGGUGGCAGUGGGAUUGGAAUGGGGUAACAGAUGAGAAAUAUUUUUAGGACAGAUUCAAUGGGCUUUAGUGAGUAAAAGGAUCUUGAAUACAAAAGAGACGAGAGAAUUGGUUCCAAGGCUUUGAAUCAGGGUGGCUGGAAGAAGAGCAGUGUGUUUAAUAGAAAAAGGUGGGGGGAUUGGAAAGAGAAGAUAAUUGGAUAGAAAGGGAAUGAAUUUUAGCUUCAGGCAUUUCAAUCUGGAAACAUUCACAGAACAUUCUAGUGGAAAUGAAUCGAACUGCAAAUCCAGGACUAAAAUUCAAGAGCAAUGUCUCCGUGAGAAUCCUUAAACAGCCUCGCCUGCAUAAGAGUAGAUGAAUUAACGCUUGGUUUGCCAACAGUUUAAUGGUUGCAGAUAUUAAAAUUUUUGAACUUUGUUUAGAGAGUUGUUUCACUUUCAAAAAAUAUUUAGUGAUCUUUUCUUAUUUAAAGGGGCAAAACUCCAGGUAGGUUAGAGUGUACUUUUUCACACCUGUAAUCUUUGGAGUCCUAGGGCUCUUGACGCUUGGUUGGAAUGGGAGUUGGUCUUGUGGACAUUUGGCACACUGGUGGAGAAAGACACAUAAUAUUGGUUUGUGAAGAUCUGUUCAAAUACUGAAAUGAACAGUUUAUUAGCAGAUCUCUAGGACUUUAGCACUGUGCACAAAUCCGCAAAGUUUACAUUAUCUGACAGCUCAAAGGAAGCUACUUUGUACAGCCAGCAAUGGAGUAGAACUACACUGUUUAUACUUUUCACUAAAAAUAGAUAUGCAAGGUUUUAAUUCUGUCUACAAUUUUAAAAUAUCUGAUACAAUGGGGCAAAAUGUUAAUAUUUUUAAAAUCUGAGUGGUAGAUACUUGGAUAUUUGUUAUAUUAUUUUCUGCAGUCUUUUGUGUACUUAAAAUACAGUAGUUUAUAAUUUUUAAAAAGGAGAAAACUUUCAAAAACAGAUAUGCCAAACAGAGCAGAAGACUGAGAUUCUGAGGCUCGGGCAAGUCUGGGAAGUUGACCUGUGGAAGCAAUGGAGUGACCCUGCUUUCCAAAGUGCCUGUCCUCUCCAAGAACAAAAGGCCAUGUGGGUGACUGGACCGUUAGAAGUCAUGGGGUAAAGAGGGAGGUAGUCAUUCUUUUCUCAGCCUGUGGGUCACAUGAUGUCUGUAAUAUUCCUCUUGGUGUCAGCCACCAGCCUGGGAAGUCACGUAUCCACCACUGGUGGUUAGAUGUCAGCGUGCUCUGGUGUUCAGAAUUACUUGUAACUCAAGCACAGUGUCAGAGGAGCCUCCUCUAUGUCCACCCCUACACUGUGUUCCUGAAGUCAGGUGUGGGUCUAAGAACAGGGUCAUUUCCGAGCCAGCGGACAAAGCAUGCUGUGAGUCUCAGGGACUAUUCUUCAAGGGCAGUGUGACUGUGUGACCUGGGGGGAGGUAGGGAAAUAGCUCCCUAUGACAGUUCCUCCGUGCCUUUCCCACAGGGCCCAACACUUUGCUCCUUCCUCUGGACAACCCAAGAGCCUCUUUCUGAUUCAGCAUUUCCCACAGCUAACAAACAACUCUUCCUUCUGUCCUGUUUCUUCUUUCAUGCAGGCCUGUGUUGGAAACAAUGUCUGAAAAACAUUAGCCAAACCAACCAUGUGGUAGGCCCGAUGUGGUGGCAGCAAUAUUCUAGGAAAUCAGUUUUUCAGACUAAAUACACCAGAAACCAAAUUUGAAAGAGAUGGGUCCCUGGACACUGCCUGUGAGCCUUAGGCUUCUACUAGGAGAAGCAAUCAUGAUGGUACAAAAAGGGUGACUAUUUCACUCAAGCCAGAACUGAAGUGGAAAUCUCUCUGAUAAAAUAUUUUUCAAUAAGCUGAAGCAAACUUGCCCUUUGAAUUUCAAGGCUUUGAAAAUAAUUAGUAUCUAGUUCAUACUUCAUCUGCUCUGGGACAAAAACUCUCCUGUAGGCCCCAUGAAAGGCCCCUUUGGACUUCUCAAGCAGCCCCCUUAGAAGGGACAAAUAAAAUCCAUUUCUUCUGGGCUUUGUGUCACUUCUCUGAUCCUGGGCUUGUCCAGAUUGCUGCCUCUUCUGUCAGAUCACACAAGCCUGCAUUCUUUCUGCCAGGCCUGCUGAUCAACCCCUUCUUCCAGCCAACAUGCCACUCUGUGAGCCAGUAGCCCUCCUCUUUCCCACUGCACGAUUAGGAACAGUUUCAGUGUUCACAGCUUUUCCUUCCUGUGCCUGUCAUUUCCCCCACGAACACAAGCUGCUUUGCAGCCUCGUCACACGCAUGGCACCAGUACUGAGACAGGUCGGGCGUAUGGUGCUGAUCAAAUUUGCUGUACUAAAUUGCCAGAACUUUCUGGAACAAAUAAAAAUUUAACAUUCAGCUUUUGGAGCACUCCUGAAACCAGACUUUCUAAAGUCUGCUUCAUUUCCAUCAAAGCAUUCAAGUCCUGAAUUUCACUCUGGAAGAUGAAUGAUCAGAGAUUUUAAAAGACAUACUGAUUGCAUCUCUCAUCUUUAG